rnacentral:lncRNA from 1 species
UGUUUGUAAUAUCCAUUAUUGCAUGGAUGGGUGAUAAAAAUCAAUUUGGUUGUCCAUCACUGAGUCACGAGAAUGUCCCAUUUGUUGUAGAUUUACCAAUAAUCAGCUGGAGAGUGAGAAGGCAGAGCUGGUACAGAAGCUCAGAGUACAGUGAGAAGUAUGGGACAUCCUUUGCUGGGCCAGGGUAUGAGGAGCUGCAAGCCCUGAUGAAGGCCACAAAAAAGGCAGUUGCAGGUAUUGUGAUGUCUGCUCUAUAUCUCAUCUGAGUUGUUUUGAUUGUAGAAAAAUAAUGGCUUAUUCUAAUUUAUUCCUCUGUGAACAUAUUUUUUUAUACCUUCCUGAAUCCAGGACAAAGUGAAAAAGAUGAAGUAACUGGAGAACUUUGACCCGAUAUUCUUUGAGGAGAUCGAGGAUCGUUACGGCCUUAUUCUAAAAUUGAUUAAAUAGUUUUUUCCCCCUCAUCAAUCUAGACUCACUUCUUAUUGGUGUCCUUUAGUAGUUUCUUUGCAGCAAUUUGACCAUGAAGGCCUGAUUCAGUUGAUGUUGAUGUGUCUGUUACUUGAACUGUGUGAAUCAUUUAUUUGGACUGCAAUUUGAGGCUGUUAACUCUAAUGAACUUAUCCUCUGCAGCAGAUUUAACUUGGGUCUUCCUUUCCUGUGGCGGUCCUCAUGAGAGCCAGUUUCAUCAUAGCUCUUGAUGGUUUUUGUGACUACACUUGAAGAAACGUUCUUGAAAUUUUCUGGAUUGACUGAACUUCAUGUCUUUAAGUAAUGAUGGACUGUUGUUUCUCUUUGUUAUUUGAGCUGUUCUUGCCAUAUUAUGGACUUGGUAUUUUACAAAAUAGGGCUAUCACAACACAACUGAUUGGCUUAAACGCAUUAAGAAGGAAAGAAAUGCCACAAAUUAACUUUUAAUAAGGCACACCUGUUAAUUGAAAUGCAUUCCAGGUGACUACCUCAUGAAGGUAUUCAACAAGGCAAAGGGUGGCUACUUUGAAGAAUCUCAAAUAUAAAAUAUAUUUUGUUUAACCCUUUUUUUUGUUACUACAUGAUUACAUGUUAUUUCAUAGUUUUGAUGUCUUUACUGUUAUUCGACAAAAAAACAACCCUGGAAUGAGUAGGUGUGUCCAAACUUUUGACUAGUACUGUAAGUACAAUUUAUUUUAUUUUUUUUAUUAUUGACUGUGUUUGUUUAUUCCAUGUGUAACUAACUCUGAGUUGUAUGUGUCAAACUGCUUUGCUUUAUCUUGGCCAGGUCGCAGUUGUAAAUGAGAACUUGUUCUCAACUGGCCUACCUGGUGAAAUAAAAAGUAUUCAGACCCUUUACUCAGUACUUUGUUG